rnacentral:rRNA from 1 species
AUUGAACGCUGGCGGCAGGCUUAACACAUGCAAGUCGAACGAGUGGCGGACGGGUGAGUAAUGUCUGGGAAACUGCCUGAUGGAGGGGGAUAACUACUGGAAACGGUAGCUAAUACCGCAUACCAUCAGAUGUGCCCAGAUGGGAUUAGCUAGUUGGUGGGGUAAUGGCUCACCAAGGCGACGAUCCCUAGCUGGUCUGAGAGGAUGACCAGCCACACUGGAACUGAGACACGGUCCAGACUCCUACGGGAGGCAGCAGUGGGGAAGAUUGCACAAUGGGCGCAAGCCUGAUGCAGCCAUGCCGCGUGAAUGAAGAAGGCCUUCGGGUUGUAAAGUACUUUCAGCGGGGAGGCGUUACCCGCAGAAGAAGCACCGGCUAACUCCGUGCCAGCAGCCGCGGUAAUUC